rnacentral:lncRNA from 1 species
GUGAUUAGACUAUGUGCUGACUAUAAUAGACAGUACUAUGUGUUAUGAUAUAUUAUUCUAAUCGAACGAAUGAUCUGAUUAUUGAUAGGUUGUGAUAAAAGAGAUAGAAUCUAAGUUGAGAUUUGUAAUCAGCAAAUCAGGCAAGUAUCCUACCUUUGCAUUUUCUUUAUGCAAUGGACAUGAGUAAGAGAGUUUCAGAAUUAUUCUAUUCUUGUACAAAUUAUGUACGCUUUGAUUAUCAACAUGUUAGCUCAG